GCGGGUGUCGUCUAGUGGCAAGACUCUGGCGUCCCAAGCCAGUGACACGGGUUCGAGUCCCGUCACCCGCU
rnacentral:tRNA from 1 species